UACGUAGGGUGCAAGCGUUGUCCGGAUUUAUUGGGCGUAAAGAGUUCGUAGGUGGUUCGUUAAGUCUGAUGUUAAAGACUGGGGCUCAACCCUGGAAGUGCAUUGGAUACUGGCGGACUUGAGUGUGGUAGAGGCAAUCGGAAUUCCAGGUGUAGCGGUGAAAUGCGUAGAUAUCUGGAAGAACACCGGUGGCGCAAGCGGAUUGCUGGGCCAUAACUGACACUGAGGAACGAAGGUCAGGGGAGCAAACGGG
rnacentral:rRNA from 1 species